GGAUCCUGAAAGAAAGGGAAAAGUAGCCUAGGCUGGAUGAAUUUAUCACUCCUGCAGAAAUCAUCCAGGGCUGGAGGAGUUCAGCUCCAAGGAGGAGCUCCUCAAUCCAUGUAGAAAAAUCAAGAAUUAUUCAAGAGCUUGGCGGAGGAAGGACUCGGCUGGAUGAAGAGAAGCUCAGCAGAGCUGAGUGGGAGGUGUUGGACAAAUUCUCCCAGCCUUGGCCAUCACGCAGAGGGGAACUACCCCGAGGCCUGCCCAAGGAAAUGUGAGUAACGUGGCUGGGAGUAAUGCCUGAAGUUUGAGCUUUUCUAUUUUCCAGACUCUGCACUGCAUUGGUAUAUAACUCUGAACUUCAUAUAAAGUGUUAGCAGUUCAGUCAGACAGAACAGUCCUUUUCCAGCCCAGAACCAAGGACACCGCUGCAGCUUCAGGCCCAAAAAGUGCAAACAACAGGGAAUGGAGGAGAGCAACCUGGGAGGGUGGGACUGCAUCACCUGGAGCUGGAAUUGAACAAUUAACCCAAAUAAAUGGACCAAAACUUAUAAAAGUGUGAAAACUCGUGACUCAGAGUCCAUCUUGGUGUAGAGCCUUGGCCAGACUCUUGCAUUGCCCGCGGUGUAGCCUUUGAAGGGCCUUUAAUAAAAUCCCUUUGAUAAAUAAAUAUUCCUUUAGCUCUGCCCAGCCUCUGCUCCAGGCAGCUUCUCUAAGCAUCAGGAGGACAUCAUUGUUUUACCAUUUCACCCAUUUGGGGUAAAUCUUAGUAGCUAGAAAGCAAUUUAUUUCAAAAUAGACAUGCUUUAACUAGCAGCACCAAGCCCCUGGCUUGCUCCCAGUAAAGCAGCUCCAGCUGAGCAUCCCACCUCUGCUGCAGAGUUUUCCUGGCUAAUGCUCCAGCCAGGCUGGGCUUUCUGAGCCUACCUCUGGGUGGAAGUCGAAGCACAUGCCAGCUGCCUGUCGUGAUAUGGGACCUUCACUUUUCCUUUCUCUCCCACCUGGUAAGUUUUUCUUCCCACUUUCUGUUCGCUUGAUUUUCAUCACAUC